rnacentral:lncRNA from 1 species
CGAAGCGUCAAGCCUGCCAGGAAAAUGAAAGCUGUAUUUCUGAUCUGCCUUUUGCUACUUUCGGUAGGAGUUAUAAGUACAGAAGGGUGUGUGUGUACAGAUGAUUGGAACCCCGUUUGCGGAAACGAUCAGAAGACAUAUGCAAACAACUGUUCCCUUACCUGCAAAGGCGUUGGUUUUGUAAAGAAUGGCAUAUGUGGCGGAAACUAAAGCGGAUUCUACAGACGUCUAGCUGUACCAUAAUAGGAAAAGACGUAAUGCUGUGAAAUGUUUAUAACAUUUACCAGUAAU